UCUUCUGACGAUGUUGCUGUUGAUGUUUCUUUGACCAUGUCUUUGUCUGAGUAGCUGUCGUCAUCUACUGAACACCUCUGUGUAAUUACGAAGAAAUUGUUAAAAAUCACGAUUCUCUACAAUGAUAACUCAAAUACCACUUUCAGCCUCAGAUGACAACGUGGAAGAUUCAACAAAAAAAACUUGGAAUCACAUGAACUUACUGCUUCAAGCCAGUGUUGUAGAGCUAGUUUUUGAGCAUUCUCAUCCUUGGAUAAGCCUUUCCCGACCUAAACAAGAUAGAACAUCAUCAAUGCCCAAAUUCCCACCAAGAAACAAAAGCCACAAUCAUAC